CUCUCUCCUCUCUCUCUCUCUCUUCCUCAAUCUCGCUUUCUCUCUUUCUCUCAAUCUCGUGCUCUCUCUCCUUUGAUCUUCUCAAAUUAGCACCUCUACUACACAUGUAUAUGUACCUCUAUAUAUUAUGUAUAUGUUGUGAAUAUCAAUGUUUGAAAUUGAAUUUAUUCUGUUGAGGUCCGAGCAAGAAUCGAAGUAGACGUCCUCAACUUCCUCAAGAUCUUGAACUCUUCGACUCCGACAAUCUCAUAUUUCUUUGAUCAAUAGAAGAUGGAAUAAUAGCUGAGGGUUUGUUGACUGAUGUUUCGUGGAUUUUUCUUUCUCACUCGUUUUGCACGAGGUCUUUGAUGAGAGUUAACUAACACUGCUGAAUCUUUCAUUAGCUAUAUCGCUGUAGAUUCAGGAGCAGGGGUUUCCGGCGAAGCC